CACGCCGUAAACGAUGAGUGCUAGGUGUUGGGGGUCAAACCUCGGUGCCGCAGUUAACACAUUAAGCACUCCGCCUGGGGAGUACGUGCGCAAGCAUGAAACUCAAAGGAAUUGACGGGGACCCGCACAAGCAGCGGAGCAUGUGGUUUAAUUCGAUGCAACGCGAAGAACCGUACCAGGGCGUGACAGGUGGGUGAAAGCUGUAGAGAUACAGCCCUCUCUUCGGAGACAUCCAUACAGGUGG
rnacentral:rRNA from 1 species